rnacentral:rRNA from 1 species
UGGGGAAUAUUGCACAAUGGGCGCAAGCCUGAUGCAGCCACGCGCGUGUGAGAAGCAGCUUCGGGUUGUAAAGCACUUUCAGCGAGGAGGAAGGUGGUGAGCUUAAUACGCUCAUCAAUUGACGUUACUCGCAGAAGAAGCACCGGCUAACUCCGUGCCAGCAGCCGCGGUAAUACGGAGGGUGCAAGCGUUAAUCGGAAUUACUGGGCGUAAAGCGCACGCAGGCGGUUUGUUAAGUCAGAUGUGAAAUCCCCGGGCUCAACCUGGGAACUGCAUUUGAAACUGGCAAGCUAGAGUCUCGUAGAGGGGGGUAGAAUUCCAGGUGUAGCGGUGAAAUGCGUUAGAGAUCUGGAGGAAUACCGGUGGCGAAGGCGGCCCCCUGGACGAAGACUGACGCUCAGGUGCGAAAGCGUGGGAGCAAACA